rnacentral:misc_RNA from 1 species
UGAUUUUUUUCACAGACUGUGAUGCUGAAAAUCAGGCAGGAAAAUUUUCUUAGCAAUCAUUAUUUGUGGCAACAAUAUAUGCCAGUCUGCAUGUGACAGGAAAGAGCAAGUAACAUAUAACUUAGAAUAAUCUAAGCCAAUGUCAACGGCUCAAGUCAAAUAUGAUGCGUCCACAUAAGAAUGAUUGUAACAAGUGGGCAGAUUUUUAAAAUAUUAUAUGCAACACA